rnacentral:rRNA from 1 species
UACGUAGGGAGCAAGCGUUGUCCGGAAUCAUUGGGCGUAAAGCGCGCGUAGGUGGCCAUGUAAGUCCGCUGUGAAAGUCAAAGGCUCAACCUUUGAAAGCCGGUGGAUACUGCAUGGCUAGAGUACGGAAGAGGCGAGUGGAAUUCCUGGUGUAGCGGUGGAAUGCGCAGAUAUCAGGAGGAGCACCAAUAGCGAAGGCAGCUCGCUGGGACGUUACUGACACUGAGGCGCGAAAGCGUGGGGAGCGAACAGG